rnacentral:lncRNA from 1 species
UAUAUCAUAAACUAACUAAUACGAGCUGAUACUAAUGACUAAUAGUUUAUCCACUAGCUAAUACAAAUAAGUAAAAUAAAAUCAAACAACUCAAUCAUUCUUAAUCAUGGAUCCGUCACCGAUCAAGUGGUCUAUUUUCCCCUCAGAGUGCUCAAAGAAGUCUGCCACAUCCAAGUGGGUGUUUUCAAAAUUGUUGUCAGAGAUAAAAUUGGUUUCAGGGUCUUUACUCUUUAGAGAUGCUUGAUAGAGCUCAACCAAAUGUCUUGGUACACGGCAAAUUUUUGCCCAGUGCCCUUCUCCANNN